rnacentral:rRNA from 1 species
GGGUCAGUAGGUUCGUCGUGCCACCGGUACGUACUGGUCUCACUGAUUCCUCCUUCCUGAACAACCGUAAUGCCAUUAAUUUGGUGUUGCGGGGAAACAGGACUGUUACUUUGAAAAAAUUAGAGUGUUUAAAGCAAGCUAACGCUUGAAUACAUUAGCAUGGAAUAAUGAAAUAGGACGAUCGAUCCUAUUUUGUUGGUUUCUAGGAUUGACGUA